rnacentral:rRNA from 1 species
CCUACGGGAGGCAGCAGUCAGGAAUAUUGCGCAAUGGAGGAAACUCUGACGCAGCGACGCCGCGUGGGUGAUGAAGGCCUUCGGGUCGUAAAGCCCUGUCGGAGGGAAAGAAAAGUUGCCUGGCUAAUAUCCAGGCGACUCUUGACGGUACCCUCAAAGGAAGCACCGGCUAACUCCGUGCCAGCAGCCGCGGU